ACGAAGAGUUUGAUCCUGGCUCAGGAUGAACGCUAGCGGGAGGCUUAAUACAUGCAAGUCGAGGGGUAACAGGGUCUUCGGACCGCUGACGACCGGCGAACGGGUGAGUUACGCGUACGCAACUUGCCUUCAAGCGGAGGAUAGCCCCGGGAAACUGGGAUUAAUACUCCAUGGUAUCAUGAAACCGCAUGGUUUUAUGAUUAAAGAUCAGUCGCUUGAAGAUAGGCGUGCGUGCUAUUAGCUAGUUGGUAAGGUAACGGCUUACCAAGGCUACGAUAGCUAGGGGGCGUGAGAGCGUGGCCCCCCACACGGGUACUGAGACACGGACCCGACUCCUACGGGAGGCAGCAGUAAGGAAUAUUGGACAAUGGGCGCAAGCCUGAUCCAGCUAUCCCGCGUGCAGGAUGACUGCCCUAUGGGUUGUAAACUGCUUUUGUACAGGAAGAAACGCCCUUAUUUAUAAGGGCCUGACGGUACUGUAAGAAUAAGCACCGGCUAACUCCGUGCCAGCAGCCGCGGUAAUACG
rnacentral:rRNA from 1 species